CUUUGUGAUGAGCAUCUGGUGGGUGUGAAGGUUUAGAGUCCUCUGAUGGGCCUGCCCAGCUUCUGAGGAUAGCCAAGCUGCCAGCUGCACUGCACAGAGGGGUAUUUAUGUUUUCCUCUGGCAACACAGAUGAGCUGGUCAUGAAACACCUACAGAUGACAUCCUGAAACUGUCUAGCCUUGAAAAUGGCUGUAAACUCCAUACCUUGACGAUUUUCAGUGCCGCUUUCCAGAACAUUCAAGGAAAAUAAAACGCUUCCUUUUGGUGGGCAGAAGUGCUGAUACAGAAGAGUUUUUCAAGCCCAGACUCCACUCCUUUUAUUUCUCCUCCUCAUGUAUCGGUCCCAUUUUCCUUCUCUGAUUUUUCCUCG
rnacentral:lncRNA from 1 species